GGACAUUGCAGAGCUGUAGUAGAUCUGUACUGGUCUGCAGACAGACAAUAAUUUGCACUACCAGGAAGACGUUCUGUGAGGAAGACAUAGGUGGAAAUACGGAAAGCAGAAAAGACAACUUGGGGGUGGCCGGGAGAUAACAGAAGAGCCGGCGCCCGAGGAGACGCACGCCGCUGACAUUGUCUUCUCCGCACGACUGUUACAGAGGUCUCCAGAGCCUUCUCUCUCCUGUGCAAAAUGGCAACUCUUAAG
rnacentral:sRNA from 1 species